UAUUACUUCACGUUUCCACUGGCUGAAGGAAGCAAUAGAUCAGCUGCUGUCAGCCCAUUAAAUGCAGAAUCUGGGAGGAACACAAAGGGACAGAUUCUAUAGUGUUGGCACUUGUGUAGAAUGCUUCCGGUUGUGUGGCUGCUUGAUUAUGUAUGGAAUCUGCUGGAAUACUUUCUGUGUGAGGCCGAGAGCGAGCGCACGUCUUCCUGCGCGUGUGAUGGUAUAGUCUGUAGUCGCACUGGGGUUCCAGAGAAUAGGGCAGCACAGGAGAGGGCAAAUAAAUGACUAGUGACAGGACUGGAUGGAAGAUACGGUGCGGAGUACAGCACUACAACAGGAAUGACCUGCUGGAUGCAUCUCACAACUGCAUCAUUAAGAUCGUUUGCAUGUUCACGUAGACAUAGAUGUCAGUCUUCCAGUGCUGUAAAUUAAGGAAGACCUUUUUUUCAAGAACAUGAAAUACAAAGUCAUACCUUUAUGUAAUAAUGAACAAUCAAAAAUGCUCAAGCGUACACUUCUGCAGCUGCCGGUGGAGUGACGUCAUCUCAGUGCUCACCUGCCGCCAUUGCCUUCUGGGUCCUGCGUCAAAGCAUCAUGAUGUCAGACGAUGGUGAAGCAAAAUAUUGGGCGCUACCUCCACAACCUCUCCUUCAUUACUCUGGCAACCAAGUCCUAGCAACAUCAUAUACAAACUAUGACAAUACAAGUGCACAAAUUAGUAAUAAAAAAAAACAAAUAAUGCAAUCUACCAUGCCAUGAAUAUCACAGACUUUACGUAAUCAAUCAGGCAAACGUAAAAAAAUAAAUAAAAAUAAAAAUCUUUAACGCAAUCCCCACCGUUGUUACUGAGGGGCACUGAAUAUUUGACAGCAUACUCUAUAAUUAUUGUAUACCUUACAUGGAAGAAAAUUCCAAAAGUGCUCUAAAUAAUUAUCAUUAUAUGCAAACUUUAUAGCUUCAUUACUGAACAGAUUACAGUGACACAUCAGGCUACAUCUAAAGGCCCCCAUCCACUAGGGAGUUUUAUCUCAGCAAUGAGUUGGAUCCAUUUUACCUGCAAUCUCGCCGGGAGCUUCCUGGGAGCGCUGCGAUUGCGAUUUGCUACUUGAGUUAUUUUUUACAUGUGAUUUAUCUCAUGCGAUCUAACGCACUGCUAUCCAUCUCGUGAUGGAUCUCAAAUGCCUUUUUUAACCUGCAGUUUCACAUAUGAUUGAUCAGAUGGCCUGGGCUAAAAUUAACAUAUGUAAACGGCAGCCAUUUUUAACUCUGGGCACACUAUGCUCUGUGACUAGCGAGGCUGGUUUAUACCUUCUGAGCGUUCCACAUUGCUACCGUGCACUGCUUUGUUUUGCUUUUCUUUUUCCUAUUCUAUUCUGAUAUGGAUCCCUAUCGCUAUAACCUCUUGUUAGCCUAUGGCUUUCUUAAGAAGAGACGUGACAGGGCUCAGAGAAGGAAGGGGUGAUGUCCUGCUGGACAAAGGAGUGGUUGAAGAAGAGGGGGACUCUUUCUCACAUGUCUCUGCUGACUUAAAUUAAGGAGAACACCCCAGAGGACUAUCGCAACUACCUGCGGAUGGAUGAUGAUGCAUUUUAGGAGUUACUGGCCCUGGUGACUCCUUAUAUUCAGAGGCAGGAUAGCAAGAUGCGGAGGGCCAUACCGCCUGAGAAGAGACUGACGGCUACCUUGAGGUAUCUGGCUAUCGUGCGUUCACUGGAAGAUCUAUAGUUUGGGACCAUCAUCUCUGCUCAAACUUUAGGGCAGAUCAUUCCUGACACCUGCAAGGCCAUUGUGAAGGUGCUGCAGAAUCAGUAUUUAAAGUUCCCUGCAAGUGUUGAAGAGUGGCAAGCCAACGGCCAGGAGUUUGAAACCAGGUGGAAUUUCCCUAAUUGUGGUGGAGCCAUCGAUGGGAAACACAUCCACAUUAACCCACCUAUCGACAGGUGGAUCGAUGUACUACAAUUAUAAGGGAUACUUUAGCAUCAUUCUGAUGGCAGUGGUAAAUGCAAACUACGAGUUUAUCUUCAUUGAUGUUGAUAAGAAUGGCCGGGCCUCAGACGGUGGAUCCCUGAAGAGCACUGCAUUUUAUGAGAGACUUAUCCCAAACAAGAUGAACUUGCCUUCUAGGGGAGAAACAACAGACAGCCUCAAUUUUGUUUUUGUGGUGGAUGAGGCCUUUUCAUACCACGAACACAUCAUUAAGCACUAUUCCCAAAGAAAGGUGUUUAAGGAGAAGAUCUUUAACUAUAGACUAUCAAGUGCAUGGCGUAUUGUGGAGAACGCUUUUGGGAUACUUUCUAACCGCUUUCGGAUCUUCCUCAUCACAUUCAACCUCAGUGUGGACAAAAUAGACUGGGUGGUGACUGCAUGCUGUGUCCUCCAUAAUUUUCUGCGCAGCCAAACAAGCCAGCAUAAGCCAAUGGUCGCAACAGCAGCACCGGAUGAGGAAGAGGAGGAUUCUCUGCUAGCACCUCCUCCCCUCUCCAAGGGGACUGCUCGUGCAAACCAUGUCAGGGAGGAGUACCUGGCCUAUUUUAAUGGCGUAGGCACAGUCCACUGGCAGAAGAAUGCAAUAACGUAAUGUGAGUGGAGUGUGGUGGACUGUGGGGGCCAAGGUUAACAAUUAAAGUGUCCAUUUACACUCCGCUGCGUCUGCCCACGGGAUGGAGUAAAAUCCAGUCCUUGUCGGUUCAGGCUCAUUUAGGAACAACAUCAGACUGUAAUACCACAACGUAGGGGUGUAUAUUUCAUCUGUGACUGCCCCGUAGCGCUUAGAAUCCUCCAUCUUUUUCUGCUCCUUUUUGUAGACUGCAGAGGUUAUGCCAUUUCUUUUUUUACCCACUCCACAUCAGCUGCUGCAAAGAAUGGCUUGCUAAAUUCCACCAACUCCUCAUUGGCGGAAAGGCGUUUGGCCUCAUUGGCGUACUCCUUGGACUUGACUUUCCGCAAGCAUUCCUUGCACUGUACCAGCUCAAUGAAGCUGGUGCUGAAAUCCAAAUUUUUGUCAAGAGACAUUUGAAAAAAAGGAUCCAGACAAAAUGUAAUUUUUGUUUUAUUACU